UACGAAGGGGGCUAGCGUUGCUCGGAAUCACUGGGCGUAAAGGGUGCGUAGGCGGGUCUUUAAGUCAGGGGUGAAAUCCUGGAGCUCAACUCCAGAACUGCCUUUGAUACUGAAGAUCUUGAGUUCGGGAGAGGUGAGUGGAACUGCGAGUGUAGAGGUGAAAUUCGUAGAUAUUCGCAAGAACACCAGUGGCGAAGGCGGCUCACUGGCCCGAUACUGACGCUGGAGGCACGAAAGCGUGGGGAGCAAAGCAGGG
rnacentral:rRNA from 1 species